rnacentral:rRNA from 1 species
ACCAAGGUAACGAUCCGUAGCUGGUCUGAGAGGACGAUCAGCCACACUGGGACUGAGAUACGGCCCAGACUCCUACGGGAGGCAGCAGUGGGGAAUAUUGGACAAUGGGGGAAACCCUGAUCCAGUCAUGCCGCGUGUGUGAAGAAGGCCUUAGGGUUGUAAAGCACUUUCAGCGAGGAAGAAAAAUUAUAAAAGAAUAAAUUAUAAGUAUGACGUUACUCGCAGAAGAAGCACCGGCUAACUCCGUGCCAGCAGCCGCGGUAAAACGGAGGGUGCAAGCGUUAAUCGGAAUUACUGGGCGUAAAGGGCAUGUAGGUGGUUUGUUAAGCCUUAUGUGAAAGCCCUAGGCUUAACCUAGGAAAUGGAUAAGGAACUGACAAGCUAGAGUGCAGUAGAGGAAGGUAGAAUUCCAGGUGUAGCGGUGAAAUGCGUAGAUAUCUGGAGGAAUACCAGUGGCGAAGGCGACCUUCUGGACUGACACUGACGCUGAGGUGCGAAAGCGUGGGUAGCAAACAGGAUUAGAUACCCUGGUAGUCCACGCUGUAAACGAUAUCAACUAGCCGUUGGGUUAUUAAAUAAUUUGGUGGCGUAGCUAACGCGAUAAGUUGAUCGCCUGGGGAGUACGGCCGCAAGGCUAAAACUCAAAUGAAUUGACGGGGGCCCGCACAAGCGGUGGAGCAUGUGGUUUAAUUCGAUGCAACGCGAAGAACCUUACCUACUCUUGACAUCCAAAGUACUUUCCAGAGAUGGAAGGGUGCCUUAGGGAACUUUGAGACAGGUGCUGCAUGGCUGUCGUCAGCUCGUGUUGUGAAAUGUUGGGUUAAGUCCCGUAACGAGCGCAACCCUUGUCCUUAUUUGCCAGCGCGUAAUGGUGGGAACUUUAAGGAGACUGCUGGUGAUAAACCGGAGGAAGGUGGGGACGACGUCAAGUCAUCAUGGCCCUUAAGAGUAGGGCUACACACGUGCUACAAUGG